AAUUCUGGCUCCAGUAACAGCUCAGUACAGCCACAGACCACUACUUCAUGCAGCCACUCUGAAGAUCCAAGUCCCUUCCUCUAUAUGCUGGACAUCUUCCUUGUGCAUCUGGUAGAUGAGAAGACAGCAAAGAUUUGACCCCACAUGGGUUCACCUAACACUAGGAAAAGCUAGGAGUGUAGUUCUAAUCUGAACCCCAAAGAAAGAGAAUGUGAGACUUCAUCGGGGGUCCCUAGCAUACCAUUUGUGAUUUCCCCCAAAUGUCUGUCAACCUUGACAGACGAACUCUGAGUUUGUGUUAUUCACAGCCUGGGCAUUCUUGUUAGUAACGUGUUGAGUCCCCAUGAUUUUUAAAAUGAAUAUAAAUGAAGUUACACUGGAAAAUGAUUCUUGGAUAGUCUAAAGACUACACGUUUUGAGGGAAAAGUCCCCAAAAGGAAGAAAGAAGAGGAGGUUUUUGGAACCAUCCAGAAGCUAUGAUAGAGGAAGUAAUUUAUAAGUCUGAUUAAGAUAGGGAAAUGACCAGACAAAUAUGGACACGAAUGCUCAUUUAUGCACUUAUGCAUGAUCAACUGAAGUCUCCCUGUGUGGGAUGUGCCAUACCUCAGUGCACCUGGCAUCGGAAUCUGCCAAGUGUUUGCCUGCAUCUUGCCAGUAGCAAGUUGGAGGGAAUAAUUGACUGUAUCGUUCUGUGGGAGAUCAGCAAAGCUUGUGCACCCCAAGUUUCAUGUGUCUUAGGCGACUCUCUUUAGAUGUUGGUCUUUUCCUGUAUUAACAGUCGUUUCAAAAAUCGCCAAAUGAUGGUCCCU
rnacentral:lncRNA from 1 species